AAUUCAAUAGUGUCUGUAGAUAUUGUGGGAGCUGACAGACAAGACUAAUAUGCCACCAAGAACACGUUUAAAUACUUAAAACAUUUGAUUCUUCAAUCAAAAUAACAACGUAAUAAUCUGUAAAUAAAUUGAAUUCAUGUUUCACACGAAGGCCCGUUCACGUUUUGUGUCAAAUCGGAUCCCGUUUGCUACAGUUUUCGCGCACUACACGCGGUGACUUGGCAGCACAAAGCUAUGGAAAAUGCAUGACAAUUAUGAACGGGAUCAAGAGACGUUGAGCUUGGCAGAGGAGAAAUGUGAUCUUCAAAUUGCAGAAUCAGAGGGGAGUCUCUGAGGCAUUCCAAAGAUUCAGAUGUAGUAUCUGUGAGAAGGUACUAAAGUGUAAAGGUGGAUAUACUGUUCAUCAGCAGAUGGACUUGAAGUCAAAAGAAAAGGAGACAGUUCAGGCAUUUCUACAGAUUUCCAAGCGUGAAUGCUCUUAUGUCCAGCUGAGAACAAAAAUGAUGAACAAGCAGAAAGUACAGCAGCAAAGGACAAGGAAGAGAUGGCACACAUUUCAAGAAUAAGAUUAACUUAAAAAGUAUGCAGAUGAUUUCUAAGGGAUGUUACAGUUGGGAAUUCACUUUCCCAGUAAAGUACAGAUACUAUGUAGCUAGUACUUUGCUGGUGUGUGCUUUGAACCCACCCUCACAGAACUACAUAAUCAGCAAUUUAACCUGACGAAUGUUAGUCAAGGUCUCGUUCAGA